rnacentral:rRNA from 1 species
GCGUGAGGGAAGACUGCCCUAUGGGUUGUAAACCUCUUUUAUAAGGGAAGAAUAAGUUCUACGUGUAGAAUGAUGCCUGUACCUUAUGAAUAAGCAUCGGCUAACUCCGUGCCAGCAGCCGCGGUAAUACGGAGGAUGCGAGCGUUAUCCGGAUUUAUUGGGUUUAAAGGGUGCGUAGGCGGUUUAUUAAGUUAGUGGUUAAAUAUUUGAGCUAAACUCAAUUGUGCCAUUAAUACUGGUAAACUGGAGUACAGACGAGGUAGGCGGAAUAAGUUAAGUAGCGGUGAAAUGCAUAGAUAUAACUUAGAACUCCGAUAGCGAAGGCAGCUUACCAGACUGUAACUGACGCUGAUGCACGAGAGCGUGGGUAGCGAACAGGAUUAGAUACCCUGGUAGUCCACGCCGUAAACGAUGCUCACUGGUUCUGUGCGAUAUAUUGUACGGGAUUAAGCGAAAGUAUUAAGUGAGCCACCUGGGGAGUACGUCGGCAACGAUGAAACUCAAAGGAAUUGACGGGGGCCCGCACAAGCGGAGGAACAUGUGGUUUAAUUCGAUGAUACGCGAGGAACCUUACCUGGGUUUAAAUGGGAAAUGUCGUAUUUGGAAACAGAUAUUCUCUUCGGAGCGUUUUUCAAGGUGCUGCAUGGUUGUCGUCAGCUCGUGCCGUGAGGUGUCGGGUUAAGUCCCAUAACGAGCGCAACCCUUACCGUUAGUUGCUAGCAUGUAAUGAUGAGCACUCUAACGGGACUGCCACCGUAAGGUGAGAGGAAGGCGGGGAUGACGUCAAAUCAGCACGGCCCUUACACCCAGGGCUACACACGUGUUACAAUGGCCGGUACAGAGGGCCGCUACCAGGUGACUGGAUGCCAAUCUCAAAAGCCGGUCGUAGUUCGGAUUGGAGUCUGUAACCCGACUCCAUGAAGUUGGAUUCGCUAGUAAUCGCGCAUCAGCCAU